GAGGACGUGGCGGAAUUGGCAGACGCGCUAGACUUAGGAUCUAGUGCCGCAAGGCAUGAGGGUUCAAGUCCCUCCGUCCCCA
rnacentral:tRNA from 1 species